AUUUUUAGCUGAAAAGACGUAAAGGCAGUCAGCCCAGUGGUGUUUCUGGAGAGGGAUUCCUUCAGAAAUGGAGAAGACAGAAAGCUGCGGAGGCAGAUAUUUGCAGCAGUCUAAAAUAUCGAGCUCAACAGCUAUUUUAAGAGCCAACCCUCACAAACCUUCCUAAAACCUAAAAGAGCUAUUACUGAGUCUCAGCGAAUCUUGCCAUGAUCAGCUCUUCCCAGAAGAGAAGGAAGACCAAGGAAAUUAUUUGCUCAGGAUGAGAAAUGAAGACGGCCAUCUUGUGCUCAAACAAACAGAAGUCCUUUGAUGAUCUCAUCAGCCAAAUGAGGGGUUUUGACCAAGUGAUGCUCUUGAAAGGAGAGAAAGAAGAGGAUGUGGUAAAUUCUCUUCAGAGAAAAAGCUUCUCAAAAGGUCUUAAAGCAGCUUGAAGAAUGGUCUGGGAUGUUAGGACUGAGAGAUCCUCUGGCUGAGAACAAGCUACACCUCAUCAGUGCUGGACAUCAACCACAAACUGUUUCCAGACACGAGAGAAGAAGAACACGAUGGGGAGAUGAAACCAGUUUAGAUGUGAUGAUAAGGAAUCAUUAUUUUCUGGAACAGUAUCACAUGUCUUAUAUGUAUCACAUGAUCUGUAUCACAGUUGACUGGAUGGGACUGUGUGACUUUUAAGGACAUUUCAUCACUCAUCCGUGGGAACUGAUUUAUAUAUGAGGUUAAUGUAUUUUUGAUGAUAAUUAUUUUCAUUGAAUCUUAUUUG